UACGAAGGGGCUAGCGUUGCUCGGAAUUACUGGGCGUAAAGGGCGCGUAGGCGGACAGUUUAGUCAGAGGUGAAAGCCCAGGGCUCAACCUUGGAAUUGCCUUUGAUACUGGCUGUCUUGAGUUCGGGAGAGGUGAGUGGAAUGCCGAGUGUAGAGGUGAAAUUCGUAGAUAUUCGGCGGAACACCAGUGGCGAAGGCGACUCACUGGCCCGAUACUGACGCUGAGGCGCGACAGCGUGGGGAGCAAACAGG
rnacentral:rRNA from 1 species